CGGCGUGCCUAAUACAUGCAGUCGAGCGAGUCUGCCUUGAAGAUCGGAGUGCUUGCACUCUGUGAAACAAGAUACAGGCUAGCGGCGGACGGGUGAGUAACACGUGGGUAACCUGCCCAAGAGAUCGGGAUAACACCUGGAAACAGAUGCUAAUACCGGAUAACAACAGAUGAUGCCUAUCAACUGUUUAAAAGAUGGUUCUGCUAUCACUCUUGGAUGGACCUGCGGUGCAUUAGCUAGUUGGUAGGGUAACGGCCUACCAAGGCGAUGAUGCAUAGCCGAGUUGAGAGACUGAUCGGCCACAUUGGGACUGAGACACGGCCCAAACUCCUACGGGAGGCAGCAGUAGGGAAUCUUCCACAAUGGACGCAAGUCUGAUGGAGCAACGCCGCGUGAGUGAAGAAGGGUUUCGGCUCGUAAAGCUCUGUUGUUGGUGAAGAAGGACAGGGGUAGUAACUGACCUUUGUUUGACGGUAAUCAAUUAGAAAGUCACGGCUAACUACGUGCCAGCAGCCGCGGUAAU
rnacentral:rRNA from 1 species